rnacentral:rRNA from 1 species
GUGCCAGCCCCGCGGUAAUACCGGCAGCCCGAGUGAUGGCCGAUCUUAUUGGGCCUAAAGCGUCCGUAGCUGGCUGCGCAAGUCCGUCGGGAAAUCCACUCGCCCAACGAGUGGGCGUCCGACGGAAACUGCUCGGCUUGGGACCGGAGGACCCGAGGGGUACGUCCGGGGUAGGAGUGAAAUCCCGUAAUCCCGAACGGACUACCGAUGGCGAAAGCACUCUGAGAAGACGGCUUCGACAGUGAGGGACGAAAGCUCGGGUCUCAAACCGGAUUAGAUACCCUAGUAGUCC